rnacentral:lncRNA from 1 species
AUUUGGGGAGAGGGAAAAAAAAAAGAAGAGAGAGAGGGAAGAGAGAAGGGAGAGAGAAGGGAGGGGGGAAGGGGAAUCCGGCCAGGGGGCCGGUCACCGGACGGCCACCGGAGGCUCGCCGGCGCCGGCGCCGGCCACCGCACGCGGUGGCCGGAAAAGGUAAAAAAUAUUUUUUUUUCUUUUUUUCUUUUUUUUUUGCUUAAUAAUGCAUAUAUUUUUAUGUUUUAAUAUUUUUUAGUAUUUUUAUGUAAAAAAUAAACUCAAAACAGUAAAGAAAAAAAAAAAGAGUCACCUUAGGUUUUAGAUUUGAUUCUCCGAUUUGGUGUUAGAGCCCCUGAUAGUAUAUAUAUUUUCGAAUGGUUCUUGUAUUGAAUCUGUUAAUAUUGAAAGAAAAUCUUUUGUUUUCAUAGCAAAAAAUAAAAAAUCCCCCCCAAUAAUGGUGAGAUUUUCGGUUUUUUAUAACCGAUUACAAAUGUUUAUUUUCUAUUUGUUUAUUUCUACUUGGCUUCUUGCAGGUGGCCAUGGCCGACAGUGGCAUGGUGGUGUUCGGCGCAAGUGGGCAAGUGGGCAAGUGGGGGGUAGGUGGCUAGGGUUAGUGGGAUUAGGGUUUCUGAAUGCUGAGUUUAGGUUAAUGGGCUGGGGUAGUUGGGCUUCGGGUUUAUUGGGUUGCUAUUUGUAUUUUCUGGACAAUGGGCCCAGCAAAUUUGGGCUUCUACAAUGUAAGCUAUGUAUUAUGUAAGUUCUGUAAGUUCUGUAUUAUGUAAGUUAUGUAAGUUAUGUAAGUUAUGUGCGUUAUGUGCAUUAUAUAAGUUAUGUAUUAUGUAAGUUAUGUAAGUUCUGUAUUAUGUAAGUUAUGUAAGUUAUGUAUUAUGUAAGUUAUGUAAGUUAUAUAAGUUAUGUAUUAUGUAUUAUUUAUGUAUGUAAGUUAUGUAAGUUAUAAAUUUUAAAUAUAUAUAUAUUAUAAAUAUAUAUAAAUGUUAAUAAGUUAUGUAAGUUAUGUAUUAAAAAUUUAAAUUAUGUAAGUUAUGUAUUAUUUAAGUAUAUCAAUUUUAUGCAUGUUAUUUAUAAUUAUUUAAGAAUUUUAAAAAUUUAUUACUAAUAAAUUUGAAAUAUAGGUUAUAUAUCCAUACCAUUAUGGGGUGAUAUAUAGUAAAUAUAGGUUUUAAUAUUUAAAAAAUAAUAUUUAUAAUUAUUUUUAAAAUUUUAAAAUUUAUUAUUAAUAAAAUUGAAAUAUAGGUUAUAUAUCUAUAUUAAUAUAUGUUAUAUAUUAAAAAUAUAGAUUUUAAUAUUUAAGUUAUAAUAUUUAUGUCCCAAAUUGAUUAUUUCCAUGUUGUCCGGGUAGGGAUCAUAACUGUUACCUUAAGGUCCUUAAACCUUUAGACUUUCGGUUUUAUCUUACAAUUUAAUAACAAACAUGAUUGGGUUUUUUGCACGAAGGUAGCAAACCGAGCCUUAACUCCAUUGAUUAUUCAUAUUCUUAAGUUUGGCUGCUGCUUAAUUUUUUUUACAAGUUAAAUGCAUGUCAUUCGAUUGGAUUAAAAUCAUGUUUUUAUUUGAAGUUAGUUGUUGUAUAAUUCCAUGUCAUUCGGUUGAAUUUAGAUUUACAAGUUUCAGAGUCUAAAAAACGUCUUAACAGCAGCGUGUAAAUGCUAGAGAAACAAAACAUGCAUGGGGUGUUUCUCUUAUUGACAAAAGGGAAAGAAACAGAAAAUAGAAUGAAAAAAUGAGAAAGGUCUUUAUAAUCCGGUUUUGAAUGUUCAUCGUUCAUAUUUUUUGAGCGUGAUGUCCAUAAUCAUAUUUUGUAUUUUAUUAUCACUUAGAUUUUGUACCCUUAUUCAAAACAUGUUGUUCUUCGAUCUAUUGACUAUUGGUGGAUCGAUUGUUUUCAUAGCAAUAGACAUCCCGAUUUUGCCUUAGUUUUAUUUAAUGAUAUUACAAAGUGAAUUGGUAAGGAGCUUACUAGCACUCUCACCUUGCCCUUUGGCACAUUCUUGUCAUGCAUUUUUAAAUGUCCAAUCAUCUCAACCCAUGUUCAUCCUCCUAUGGUCGUUAAAUUUCAACCCAUUAGUUUUCAUGUUCUUCAUCGAGCUAGUUUUAAAUUAGUCUCUAUUAUCAGAACUUGGGUUAAGGAUGACAAUCAUAAUCCUCUAGAUGUUGACGAUGAAGAUUUU